AUCACUCAGGAUUUCUCCUUGCAUUAGCUUUGACCCAUGUAGAAUUAGCUUCUCUAAGGAGCAUAAACCUGACAAAGAAAGCAAUUGGCAACAUGUUGAAUUUAAGCCACAAGCACGGAGAUGCUUCAAGCUUUGCAGCCUCCCCAGGUUUUGUGGCAAUUUGUGGAGUUUUGAACAGUAACCGACAUCGAGAACUUCAAGAAAGCAUAAAUCACAAAUGCUUUCUGGAAGAGUCACAAGGUUUUUGCAGCCGUUCAGAUUCAAAACUUCAAGCCUAUUCAAAUGUUUGAUUGAUGAUGGGAGCUCUUUUAUAGCCGUUUUGUUCAAAUGAAGCACCCUUAAGUUUUCCAUAUUCUCCAAGAUUUCUGGAAAGUACUGUAAUUGUGAACAGUGAGAGCAAAAGAGAGAUUUUAGGGAUUUGAACUCCCAAAUGCUUGUUGGCAGACUCUCAAGGUUUUUGCACUCUCGCAAACAUAAGGUAUCAAAUUCAGAGGCACGCUCAAUGGGUAGUAGGCUUAUUGUCUGACCCUUUAAACAAAGCUUUCGGUGUUCCACGUUCCUCUGACAUUCCAAGCAGCUAGCAUCCACAUCCCCAGUCUGUACUAUUGGAUCUUGGGCGUAUAUAGGUUGGAGCCCACACUUAAGCACCUUAAAAUGAUUGCCAGAGUCCUUAAAUAGAGCCCCAAGAAACAUGAAUGGAUUGGUGUGACAGCUCUCCAGAAUAGCAGCCUUGGGAUAGAAUAUCACCCACAUUUGUUCUGAUACACCUCCAUCGUGGUAGCAUUUACAAGUAGUGCGAAAACUGAGAUGUCGCACACACAUGGAAGAAAAUUUAUUUCUAUCAUACAAUGACAAUUGACAUUCUAACUCAGUGGAGAUUGAAGAUUCAGCUUCAAGUAAAUCAUCAGAUUCAUUCAGGGCUUCGUCGCCAGAUUCAUUCUCCGAUGCAUGUGCAAAAUCAUUUUCACAUUCAUCGAGUGGAGCAUAAACGAAGCAUAUAGCAAUUCCCAAGAAGUCAUCAUUUUCAUAACAAUUCUGAGGAAGCUCUAUUGUGAUGUGAUGUCUUUCUCUCUGAUUCCUUAUCCAUUUGGGAAUUCCAUUGCUUCCCGGAACAACAAUACAGACUCCAUCGCCAAUGUAGUUGGAAUUAGCGAGAAAUACUCCAUUUGAACUCUUCUUGUGUUUCAAAUCCUGCACAAAUGGACAAUGUAAAUCUAGUGAGUCUGUGUCAUUAUGUGAGUUUUUAUGAGAGAGUUUGUUAUCAAUUUUCGAUAAAUUGAUUCCCAGUUUUAACUUUCUUUGAUCUAUGCUCCUGAAUCUACUUAAUAUCCCUUUUAGAUGACGGAUAUGUUAGAAUUCAUGAGAGUUUGUCUUUGAAAAUGUCUUAGUUAGACUCAGUCUCUGUUUUGCUCCAUAAUUUUCAGUUUUUCUGUUAGUAGAAGUAGUUAUAGCAGCUGAGAGUUUUUAGCAUUUUCAGUUUGGUUGUAAGCCUAUAAAUAGGCAUUCUCAUUGGUGAAAUAUUGUCUCUUUCUCCAACUCAAUACUCUAAUAUUUUCUGCAAGUUUUAGUUCCUUAUUUUUCUCUAGAUUUUAACCGUGGUAUCAGAGCAUUAUUCCUACGGGCUGUGAGGCAAAGUUUUUUUUAGUAUUAAACACAGUGAGGUUGAGUGCAAACACUAGUGAGGUUGAGUGAUCUAUUUUUUUUUAAGCAACUGUGGUGCAAACAUGUCUCCUUCUAGCAAUACUUCCUCUGUAAUUCUAGUGUUUAAUGGUGAACACUAUCACAUUUGGGCUGUCAAGAUGAGGUUUUAUUUAAGGUCUCAAGGUUUGUGGAAUGUUGUGAUGUUUGAAGCUGAUCCACCACCAUUGGGAGCAAAUCCUAUAGUUGCUCAGAUGAAAGCAUAUGACGAAGAAAAACUAAAGAAAGACAAAGCCAUCACCUGCCUACAUUCAGGACUUGCAGACCACAUCUUCACCAAAAUCAUGAACUUGGAAACACCUAAACUGGUAUGGGACAAGCUCCAAGGUGAAUUUGAGGGCAGUGAAAGAGUCAAAACUGUUAGACUCUUCACAUUGAAGAGAGAGUUUGAGUUGAUGAAGAUGAAAGACGACGAAUCUAUCAAAGAUUAUUCUGGCAGGUUAAUGGAUGUUGUAAACCAAAUGCGGCUUCUUGGUGAGGCAUUUACAGAUCAAAAGGUGGUAGAAAAGAUCAUGGUUUCAAUGCCUCAAAAGUUUGAAGCCAAGAUUUCUGCAAUUGAAGAGUCUUGUGACUUGCAAACUCUCACAAUUGUAGAGUUAACUAGCAAGCUUCAUGCACAGGAGCAAAGGGUCUUAAUGAGAGGUGAUGAAGCUACUGAAGGUGCUUUUCAAGCAAAUCACAAGGGAAAGAAUUCUGGAAACUUGCAAGGAAAGAAGUUCUUCAAGAACAACAAAGGGAAAGCUGAAGGGUCUUCAAGAAAAGGAAAAUUUCCGUCUUGCUCUCAUUGUAGAAGAACCAACCAUGCUAAGAAAGAUUGUUGGCACAAAGGUAAACCUCUCUUUAAUUGUAAUUUCUGCAAUAAACUUGGCCACAGUGAGAAGUAUUGCAGAGCCAAGAAAAAACAAUCUCAACAACAACCAGAACAAAAUGCAAGUGUGACUGAAGAAGACAAAAAUGAUGAUGAGCAUUUAUUUAUGGCAUCACAAGCACUCAGUUCUCAUGAACUGAAUACUUGGCUCAUUGAAAGUGGCUGCACGAGUCACAUGACCAAAUAUCUGUCAAUAUUUACCUCCAUUGAUAGAUCAAUUCAACCAAAGGUCAAGUUGGGAAAUGGUGAAGUUGUGCAGGCCAAAGGAAAAGGGACAAUUGCUAUCAUCACCAAGAGAGGUACAAAAAUUGUCACUAAUGUUCUUUACAUUCCAGAUUUAGAUCAGAAUCUUCUUAGUGUUGCACAAAUGCUAAGAAAUGGAUAUGCAGUCUCUUUCAAAGAAAAUUUUUGUUUUAUCACUAAUGUACACGGAAAAGAGAUAGAAAAAAUUAAAAUGAAUGGAAAUAGCUUUUAUUUGAAGCUUGAUUUAGUUGAAGGUCAUGUCUUUAGUGCCAAGAUUGAUGAGAGUGUUGUUUAGCACAAAAGAUAUGGUCAUUUCAAUUUGAAGUCACUGAGGUUCAUGCAAGAAGCUGGUAUGGUUGAAGACAUGCCUGAAAUCUCAGUUAAUGCUCAAACUUAUGAAAGUUGUGAGCUAGGGAAGCAACAACAACAACCAUUCCCUCAAAAUAUGUCCAAGAGAGCUACUCACAAGCUGGAAUUAAUUCAUUCAGAUAUUUGUGGACCAAUGAGCAUAGCCUCAUUGAGCAACAAUGUGUAUUUUGCAUUAUUUAUUGAUGAUCUCAAUAGAAUGACUUGGGUUUAUUUUCUAAAAACCAAGUCACAAGUGCUCUCUGUGUUCAAAAGCUUCAAGAAAAUGGUUGAAACUCAAAGUGGCCAGAACGUUAAGGUGCUCAGAACUGAUAAUGGAGGUGAGUAUAUCUCAAAAGAGUUCAAUGUCUUUUGUCAAGAAGCUGGAAUUGUACACCAGCUAACAGCUCCAUACUCACCACAGCAGAAUGGAGUCUCUGAGAGGAAGAACAUAACCGUGAUGGAGAUGGCAAGGUGCAUGCUAUUUGAGAAGAAGCUACCAAAACUUCUAUGGGCUGAAGCAAUCAACACCUCAGUAUAUUUGCUUAACAGACUACCAACUAAGUCUGUUCAGAGCAAAACACCAAUAGAGGCAUGGUCUGGUGUAAAACCUUCUGUCAAGCACCUGAAAGUUUUUGGCUCAUUUUGUUAUCUUCAUGUGCCAUUUGUCAAGAGAGGGAAGCUUGAUGAAAGAGCUGAGAAAGGUGUUUUUGUUGGGUAUGUAGUUGAAUCAAAAGGUUACAGAAUUUAUAGCUUGAGUAAAAUGAAAAUUGUGAUAAGUAGAGAUGUGCACUUUGAUGAAAACUCCUACUGGAAUUGGGACUUGAAGAAAGUUCAUAAAUGUGAUCAAACCACUCCAUCUAUUCUUGAACCAGCAAUAGAAAGUACAAUCAUUGAAGGUCCACUUGAUGUUGAAGCAACUUCAGACACACCCGUGCUUAAGAUGAGGCCAUUAUCUGAUGUGUAUGAGAGGUGCAAUCUUGUACAUGCUGAGCUUACAUGUUACAUGGAAGCUGCAAGAUUUCUAUAAGGCUACUACUUGCACUUGCUGGUCAAAUGGGAUGGAAAGUGUACCAUUUAGAUGUCAAGUCAGCUUUUCUAAAUGGUAUACUUCUUGAAGAAAUUUAUGUUCAACAACCAGAAGGCUUUGAGGUUAUUGGCCAUGAACGUAAAGUGUACAAGCUACAUAAGGCUCUCUAUGGUUUGAAGCAAGCACCAAGGGCCUGGUAUAGCAGAAUUGAUUCUCAUCUGAUCCAACUUGGAUUUAGGAGGAGUGAAUAUGAAGCUACUUUGUAUUUGAAACAAAAUGAUGAUGGUUUGCAACUGGUAGUAUCACUUUAUGUUGAUGACAUGCUAGUGAUUGGAAGCAAUGUAAAAUUGCUAGCUGAUUUCAAAAUGGAAAUGCAGGAUGUAUUUGAGAUGUCUGACCUUGGCAUCAUGAACUACUUCCUUGGAAUGGAAAUAUACCAAUGCAGCUGGGGUAUCUUCAUUUCACAAAGAAAAUAUGCUAUGGAUAUUCUCAAGAAAUUCAAGCUAGAAUCAUGCAAAGAAGUAGCAACUCCACUGGCACAAAAUGAGAAAAUUUCAAAGAAUGAUGGUGAGAAACUUGAGGAACCCUCUGCAUAUAGAAGCUUGGUGGGCAGCCUACUAUACUUGAUAGUAACCAGACCUGACUUGAUGUUUCCAGCUAGUUUGCUUUCAAGGUUCUUGAGUUCACCUAGAAAUGUUCACAUGGGAGUUGCAAAGAGGGUGCUAAAGUAUGUUAAAGGUACAACAAACCUUGGCAUUUGGUAUUUAAAGACAGGAGGAGUUAAGCUAGAUGGUUAUGCUGAUAGUGAUUGGGUAGGAAGUGUUGAUUAUAUGAAGAGCACUUCAGGUUAUGUAUUUACAAUCGGUUCAGGUGUCAUAUGCUGGAAUUCAAGAAAGCAAGAAGUAGUGGCACAAUCAACUACAGAAGCUGAGUAUAUCUCCUUAGCAGCUGCUGCAAAUCAAGCAAUAUGGUUGAGAAAAUUGCUUGCUGAUUUAGGCCAGGAACAAAGCUCACCAACUGAGCUUUGCUGUGACAAUAAGUCAGCCAUUUCCAUUACUCAAAAUUCUGUCCAACAUGGCAGAACCAAGCACAUAAAUGUAAAAUUCCACUCCAUUAGGGAAGCUGGAAAGAAUUCACUUGUUAAGCUGCAUUAUUACUCAACUGAUGAGCAACUUGCUGACAUAAUGACUAAAGGACUUCCUAAAUCAAGGCUGGAGUUCCUAAGGUUGAAGCUUGGUAUGCCCAAGGCAAAUCUCAAGGAGGAGUGUUAGAAUUCAUGAGAGUUUGCCUUUGAAAAUGUCUUAGUUAGACUCAGUCUCUGUUUUGCUCCGUAAUUUUCAGUUUUUCUGUUAGUAGAAGUAGUCAUAGCAGUUGAGAGUUUUUAGCAUUUUCAGUUUGGUUGUAAGCCUAUAAAUAGGCAUUCUCAUUGGUGAAAUAUUGUGUGCCUUUCUCCAACUCAAUACUCUAAUAUUUUUUGCAAGUUUUAGUUCCUUAUUUUUCUCCAGAUUUUAACAGGAUAAUCAAUCAACAUGAAAGUGAGUGACAAGAUUAAGUGUGGAAACUGGAAGUGAGUAGAAUAAGCAGAUCUCUUCUUCACUUGCAGUAACUUCUUCUCCAUUCAGAUUCAGAGAUCUUAGAAUUGUAGCUUCAACUUAACUCUCAGAAUCUUAAAGACAAAGUUUGCUCAAGUUUCAAAAACUCACAGAAAAAUUUCUCCACCUGUUUCUCUUAAUCCCAUGAGGCGAGAGACAUGAAGCACACACUUAUUGGCUUUUUUCCAUGCAAGUUUCAAGGUGGAGCAUCAAAUGAACUAAAACAUUCCCUCAAAUCCUAGUGGAAAUUCACACUAGAAAUUUCAGAAUUUGCUAAAGAAAAGUUUAAUUCAUUUUCUCCAUGAAUAAAAAAGCAUGUGAGGGCAUUUUAACUUCCUAAUAAUUAUUAUAGUAAACUAUAAUUCUCAUUAUUUAAACUCAUGAUCCUUAAUUUUAUCAUCACAUUUUGAAAAGACUUUCGUCAUCCCUUCCAUGAAUUAAUUGAUGUUUAAGGAGGUAUAAUAAACUUUUAAUUGAAUUUAACAUUAUUUCUAUUCUUAGACUCAUCUUAAACUCUUAUUUUUUUAUACUCUUAUCAAAACAAAAAAAAACUUAACAAAAAAAAAAAGAUUUCAAUUACUCCGUGUUCAUAAGGAAAAAUGGCUGAAUGUUAUGAAAAUCAUACCUCAAUUGUUGAUUUAAAGCAUUUGAACAGAGAAACACCAAGUAGACUCGAUGGACUUGAUAAAGAUUCCAAACAUGUGCAACUGUGGACAUCUAGAACUCGUAAACUUGGUGGAAGCUCUGGAACUUGUAGAAGCCCCUGGCAGUGACUCAAUUCAAGGACUCUCAGUUUAGAAAGUUGAAUGAUGCCUGCAAGUAUGCUACUAAAACAGUCCAUGCUUAGAUUUAGACCUGAAGCGUGCAAACCCUCUAAACAUUGCAAACUCCUCAGGUUCUCGGGAAAUUUCUCAAGUUUUGUACAGAAACUGACAUUUAGAAUUUUGAGAGAACUCAAAUUACAAAUGCUUUCUGGAAGACUCACAAGGUUGGUGCAUUCUGCAAGAUUCAAAUAUUGAAGCCCUCUUAAAUAUUGAAUUGAUGUUGGUAGUUCUUCUAUAGCAGUUCCAUCUAAAUGAAGCUCUCUUAAAUUUUCCACAUCCUCAAUGAUUUCCGGAAAGCUCCUUAAUCGUAAACAGCCUGAGCAGAAGAGAGUUGUAAGGGAUUUCAACUCACAAAUGCUACUGGGAAGACGCUCAAGGUUUUUGCAUUCUCGCAAACAUAAGCUAUUAAGUUUAGGGGGACACUCAAUAGUGGGCAGUUCAUUGAUGGCAUUUCCCUUUAAACAAAGCUUCCGUCGGGAUUGCACAUCCUCUUGACAUUCCCGGCAAAUGGUGGGUAUCAUUGCUUUACCAUUGUUCUUUUCAUGAUCAUGGGCAUAUAUAAGAUGGAUCCCACACUCUUCCACUUUCAUUGCUUUACCACGUGAGAAGCCACAAAAUGAAGCUGUCAACUGCCUCCAUUUAUUUGAGGGGUACUUCUUCACAAUCUCCACCUUCGGAUAAUAAGUCAUCCACAUUUUUCGUAGAACAUCAUAGCAUUGACACGAGGGAUAAAACGAGAGUUUAUCCACAAACUGAAUUUUAUGACCACACAAAGUCAAACCAUACUCGAAGUAAGUUGCUUCAUUCUCCAGUGUCUCCUCAGAUUCAUUAUCAAGUGGAUCAUAGAGAGAGUACAAAACAAAACCCAACAAGUCGUUAUUUUUAUACCAAUUUUGAGGAAGCUUUGCUACUACUUUAGCUCCCUUUUUGCGAUGGCUUAUCCAUUUUGGCAUUCCACAACUUACUGAAAUAAUAAGAUUUACUCGGGUAAAACGUUUUUCUCUAGGAUAAAUCUCGCAUUCAAAAUCCUGCACGAAAUUUAAUCAACACGUAAAUCCCUAUGUCUCCACAAAAAAAGUUUUGUUCUAUGAAUAUCAUACCUGAAUCACUGAUUUGAAGCAGUUGAAUAGAGAAGACCAGAGUAGACCUGAAGAAGUUUCCAGCCGUGUGCACUCAUGUACAUCUAAGACACGCAAACUGGAUGGAAGCGCUGGAAUUUGUCGAAGCUCUUGACAGUGACCCAAGUCAAGGAGUCUCAGCAUAGAAAGUUGAUUGACCCCAGCAGGUAUGCUCCUAAAAAGAUUCCCGAAUAGCAGUAAUUGUCGCAGAGACGAUAGGUGGCAAAUUUCGGUGGGGAUUCCUCCUUCAUCUAUACUGCAGAAAGAUAGAUCUAACGCUUUCAACGAGUACAAGCAGCAAAUAUCACUCAGGAUUUCUCCUUGCAUUAGCUUUGACCCAUGUAGAAUUAACUUCUCUAAGGAGCAUAAACCUGACAAAGAAAGCAAUUGGCAACAUGUUGAAUUUAAGCCACAAGCAUGGAGAUGCUUCAAGCUUUGCAGCCUCCCCAGGUUUUGUGGCAAUUUGUGGAGUUUUGAACAGUAACUGACAUCGAGAACUUCAAGAAAGCAUAAAUUAGAAAUGCUUUCUGGAAGAGUCACAAGGUUUUUGCAGCCAUCCAGAUUCAAAACUUCAAGCCUAUUCAAAUGUUCGAUUG
rnacentral:lncRNA from 1 species